rnacentral:rRNA from 1 species
ACUCAAAUGAAUAGACGGGGGCCCGCACAAGCGGUGGAGCAUGUGGUUUAAUUCGUCACUAACCGAAGAACCUUACCCAGGCUUGACAUCGCGUGUAAAGCAGUGAAAGCUGCUCCUCCCUUCGGGGACACAAAGACAGGUGUUGCAUGGCUGUCGUCAGCUCGUGUCGUGAGAUGUUGGGUUAAGUCCCGCAACGAGCGCAACCCUCACCGGAUGUUGCCAGCGUAAAGUCGGGAACUCUUCCGGAACUGCCCGUGCAAGCGGGAGGAAGGUGGGGAUGACGUCAAGUCGGCAUGGCCCUUACGCCUGGGGCUACACACAUGCUACAAUGGGCGUUAACAGAGGGUUCCGAAGCCGCGAGGUGGAGGCAAUCUCACAAAUACGUCCUCAGUUCGGAUUGCAGGCUGCAACUCGCCUGCAUGAAGCUGGAAUCGCUAGUAACCGCAGGUCAGCUAAACUGCGGUGAAUACGUUCCCGGGCCUUGUACACACCGCCCGU